GGUAUUUAAACAAGAAAUAAGAUUUUACUUUUUAUACAUCAAAAAUAUUCAAAAAAUACAUCGUCAUCAAGCGAAAAGAUCAUUUAUACUAGAAACUUUUUCUCGGUUUGUAGUGUAUAUAUUUAAUACUGAUUAAUGUCAAUGGAUCAGGACCCAUAAUAACAAUGAUUUGAACUUAUUUACCUCGAUGGAUUUAUCCGCAAACUAUUAAAAAGAGAUUUACCAUAUACAGGUAAGCAGAGAGGGCAUCCAAUGCGCAUAUUCAACCUUUUUGGGUCAUUGCCGGUUAACAAUAUAGCAAUUUUAUGCAUUUUGUGAAAUACAUUCUUUAAUAUAUUCUAAAGCCAUGUACGAAGUUUUUAAAUGCUGAGAGAAAUAGUUCAACUAGUAUAAAUUAAUGGAAGAAAGGCAAAAAAUACCAUUGGAUACUUUUUUCAGUUGUAGUUAGCCAAAAACCACUGAGGAAAUCAUUUUUUAUGCGCAAUAUCUGUAGUUACGACAAGGUUGCACUUGGCAAUCGGUGGGGGUGAGUGAGUGAGUAAAUUCAAAUGCGUAUAAGAUAUUGUAAAAUGGUCUGCCGCUUUAUAAUAAAAGAAGUUUAUUAAAAACAGGGCUAAAAGGAAUAAAAAAUAUACGUUUGGAUACCAUUUUAUUGAUGCGGUAAGUGCGCGAGUUUGAUAUUUUGCAGGUGCUACGCGCGUUUCCCUUUCCAAAAGAGCCUCAUUCCUUAAGUGACCUCGGUUUGAGGUUAAGUCAAACAAAGACAACUUUUGUCCCUAUGACAUUAUUUGUGAGAAACCACACGAAAUUCUUUCACUAUUUAAAGUGCUUAACUCUAACGUGAAUUAUUUACAAUGUCGUUUGUUGCAUUUCUGUAGAGUGUAAAAGGAUUAUUCUUUUUUUACAUAUCUUAUAAUUUUACCUCUACAUUCUUUUGACACCGCAAUUUUAUUAUUUUGAAGUGUUUUUACUCUGUAAUUAUUUUUAUAUUUUCAGAUUGCACUCUCUAAGAUAAUUAUAUAUGUUCCUUUAACUGUCAUUUACAUUAUUAAAAUGAAGAGUCAAUAGGCAAUGAAAAUGACGUGAUUUUUUAAUUUUACGAAAAAACGAGCGUAGAUGUAGGCAGAUUACCGACCGAGUAAAACAUGACAAGCUUACUAGCUCUGUGAAAAAAAUCAUGGAGUCGGAUGAACAUUGCCACGUUUUUCUCACGAAUUAAUUACGUCGUAUUAAUGGUUAAAAUUGAUUAUUGAUGUUGGAUUAUAUGACUUAUUAUUGAGAACACAUUUAAUAAACAUUAUGGGUAGAAAGACGAAUCGACGUGGAGAGAGUUGGAGAGUUAAUAUAAACAUAAACAAUAUCUUCGUAGGGAGAAAGAACUGAGAGUUCUUUGAUGACGAUUUAGUCUGCUUCAGCAGGCCCUAGGAUACAGGCGUCCCUUCCUCGUGCCAUAUUCAUAAUGAAAUAAAGACAAUGGGCCGCGACCCUCUCAGAUUACAAACGCUGACAAGGAGAAAGUUCAUGAAUUCGUAAAUUUCAUGGGUUUGAGUUCACGUUUCUUAUCGCUCACAACUCCUUUAGCCUAAAGCACAAGCACAUAACUCAAUCACCUGAUAGCCGGAUGAAGUUGUGCACCCACUCAAGUACAAGUCCAGUCCUACUCGAUUUCUACUCAAUUGAUCAACUGAAGAUGAACUAAUAAUCUAAUAGUGAUCGAUGAACCAUCGAUUGGCAAUCGACUAGCAGUUGACUGCCUGUUAGUCAGCAUUCGACCAUAGAUCAAUUGGCCAUCACCUAAGUAAUCGAUUAACGAUCAAUCAGCCUUUGACCAAAUGCUCAAGUCGAUGCCCAAUCGACUAACCCUCAAGUAGCCAUCGAGCGAUCUACCAGAGAUCUCGCCUAACCUCAUGUGGAAAACUUUUCCUCAUUGAUCGAUGUAGUCGCCAUAUGAUCGUAUUCGAGGCGGGAAACUCGAAUACGGGGCGCGCCUCGUAAGAAUUCGAGAUUUGAAAAUUAUUAUUAAAGUGAAACUUCUUGAGUGACUUUGAAAAAUCUUGCAUUAAACGUUUAAAACUUAAGUGGAGGGGGAAUAGGGUUGAGCGUUUAACGCCACUCGAAGGGAAAAGAGCGAGAGAGAAAGAUAGAGUACGAGCGACAGAAGCAUAGGCGCUUGACUAGGUAUUUCAAUUAUAACACUCCAAUUAUAAAUAUUGUAAACAUUAACCAGUUAGAGACCAGCGAGGAUAAUUAAUUUAGACUUUGUAUAAUAAUAAAUGUAGAAAAGGUGAAUUUAAAAAAAAAAUUGGCCAUUCCCCCAUAUUUUAUCCUUUCCCUCACGCUAUUUUUCCCUGGCACGAAAUGAUACACAUUUCUUAGAAUAUCCUUAAGAAAUUUCCCUUUUCAUUAUUAUUAUUUGUGAUUAAUUUAUUAUUGGUUGGAAAUUUAUUAUUAUUUUUGGCUGAAAUAUUAUUCGUAUUGUUGUAUUCAAUGAAUUCAUUAUAUCGUUUAGUGAUAUUUAGAAUAUUAUUCUAAUGUCAACAUAAAUUGUCAAUUUUACCGAACCGUGGCCUUGACACAUCGGAUCCUCGCUAACAUUGAUGGCCCAAAACAACAUGUGAAGUAUUCCAAUGAAAUUAAUGAAAUUUUUUCAAUGCAAUUCUCCUAUUUAUACCAAUUUGAAUUUAGCGCUGAUUAGGGCGAGGUGCGGUAAAAGAUUGAACAAUCGUCAAUGGAGUGUGUACUUGGGCCGGGCGUUUCCGCUCUAUUUUGUUUUUUUUUGUGAUCCCAGUUGAGUACGAAGAGAUAAGUAUUAAAAGCAAUAUUGUCGAAACCUCUUGUAUACUAAAAAAAACAAUUUUUUAAUAUUAUCAAUUUAGCUAGAAAGUUGAGAGUUGUUAAAAGAGUUGUCUCGGUAGUUUGUAAAGAUUGAUUAAAAAUACAUCGAGUUUUUACCCUUUCUCGAAAUCAUGGGACCAACUCUUUGGAAUAAACCGUCUCCUUGCCACC